AGAGUUUGAUCCUGGCUCAGAUUGAACGCUGGCGGCAUGCUUUACACAUGCAAGUCGAACGGCAGCGCGGGGCAACCUGGCGGCGAGUGGCGAACGGGUGAGUAAUAUAUCGGAACGUACCCAAGAGUGGGGGAUAACGUAGCGAAAGUUACGCUAAUACCGCAUACGAUCCAAGGAUGAAAGUGGGGGAUUCGCAAGAACCUCAUGCUCCUGGAGCGGCCGAUAUCUGAUUAGCUAGUUGGUAGGGUAAAGGCCUACCAAGGCUACGAUCAGUAGCUGGUCUGAGAGGACGACCAGCCACACUGGAACUGAGACACGGUCCAGACUCCUACGGGAGGCAGCAGUGGGGAAUUUUGGACAAUGGGCGCAAGCCUGAUCCAGCAAUGCCGCGUGAGUGUAGAAGGCCUUCGGGUUGUAAAGCUCUUUUGUCAGGGAAGAAACGGUGGGGGCUAAUAUCCUUCACUAAUGACGGUACCUGAAGAAUAAGCACCGGCUAACUACGUGCUAGCAGCCGCGGUAAUACGUAGGGUGCAAGCGUUAAUCGGAAUUACUGGGCGUAAAGCGUGCGCAGGCGGUUUUGUAAGUCUGUCGUGAAAGCCCCGGGCUCAACCUGGGAAUUGCGAUGGAGACUGCAAGGCUUGAAUCUGGCAGAGGGGGGUAGAAUUCCACGUGUAGCAGUGAAAUGCGUAGAGAUGUGGAGGAACACCGAUGGCGAAGGCAGCCCCCUGGGUCAAGAUUGACGCUCAUGCACGAAAGCGUGGGGAGCAAACAGGAUUAGAUACCCUGGUAGUCCACGCCCUAAACGAUGUCUACUAGUUGUCGGGUUUUAAUUAACUUGGUAACGCAGCUAACGCGUGAAGUAGACCGCCUGGGGAGUACGGUCGCAAGAUUAAAACUCAAAUGAAUUGACGG
rnacentral:rRNA from 1 species